AAAAAAAAAAAAAAUUUAUAUAUUCAUAUUGCUUUCUUUCAUUUUCUUCGCAAGAAAGCAUAUAUUGUUGGUAAAUAUUUUCUUUUCUUGUCAAUCUAAUUAAUUUAAUUGUGUGGACGAUCUGGCUUUAGCUUAGAUUGGUGGGAUAAACUUGACACAGCAAAAACUGACAUACAAUUUCAUUAAAUCUUUUUUUUUUAAUAAUAAAAAAAUCUUGGUGAAAUCUUUGAUAAAACUAGUCUUUA
rnacentral:misc_RNA from 1 species